UUAAGCAUAUCAAUAAGCGGAGGAAGAGAAACUAACCAGGAUUCCCGCAGUAACGGCGAGCGAAGUGGGAAGAGCUCGAGCCUGUAAUCUCUGGCAGUGUUGCCAGCGAAUUGUGGCCGGGAGAGGUGGCUUGGUCCUGUCUUGCGGCGUCAAAGUUGACCUGGAAGGGCACGUCGGAGAGGGUGAGAACCCCGUUGUUGACCCCGCAAGUGUGGGCAGACGCCGCCUUCUGAGAGUCGGGUUGUUUGGGAAUGCAGCCCAAAGUGGGUGGUAAACUCCAUCUAAAGCUAAAUACGGACACGAGACCGAUAGCGAACAAGUACCAUGAGGGAAAGGUGAAAAGUACUUUGAAAAGAGAGUCAAAGAGACCGCGAAACCGUUUGGAGGGAAGCGAAUGCAGCUUGACGACUCCGUUCGGGUUCAGGGAGGGUGGUCGGCCUUCUUGUGCGGGUCAACUCGCAAGAGUGCUCCGCCUCGCUUGACCGUCCACCCUUCUGCAUUCCCGUCUUGGAGUUGGCCAACGAGGGUGGCUGGUGGCCAGUACAAGGCUGGAGGGUAGGUGCCUUCAGUGGCUUUCGGGUCGUUGGAGAACUUAGAGCCUCCGACUGGUUUGGUUGCUAGCUGCCGAGGAGAUGUGCCGCCUUGGCACAAGUCAGYGCAGGCUCCGCAGGGGCCGGGCCGCUUCUGUCCGUUUGGGAGGCGCAGCAAGGGACUGCCUGCAGUGCCUGUUGACGUCCUUUUCUGCUCGGGCGGGAGGUGGGUCACGAUGUGUGCUGUAGUCGUUGGUAGAAGGGAUGGCUUCAUCCGACCCGUCUU
rnacentral:rRNA from 1 species